ACAAACACUGACACUGCCUGUCCUUUAAGUGAUUCAUCUGCUGUCUAAGUUUCACCUUUUCUUACAAAGAACACUAACAACACAUUUUGCAGUCCAGUGAAGCAGAUAAUGUGAGAGACAGCUGCACUAAAAUACUGGACAAUUCAGGAAAACUCCAAUGCCAAUCAGUUUGUUUCUCUCUUGUCGAGAAAUAAGAUGACCGUGCUUCUCCAUCACAGAAGAACCAGACCUGGGCUCACGGCACCAAGUGUGGGCUGCAUGCAUCCUUGUUGGUCACCAACUUCCCACCAGCAACACAAUCACCACCAGCAGCAGCACUGCAGGCCUGCUGACACAAGGUGCACUCACAGAAGCAUCUCCACGGCAACCAAGGCAAACUCAAGUUAUAAGCUUGAGAGGAGAAAUCCCCGACGAGGAGCCCGGUCAGGAGGAGAAGCCAGAGGUCCCGUCUUAGUCUGGCCAUUUUCCUAACGGUCAGCCUCCUCCUCUUCAUCAUCAUCAUCAUCGACCUCCCCAAAUCCAUCAUGUUGCUGUUAAAUAAAUCCAAGCUGGCUUCAAGCCUUCCCCCCACCUUGCCGCUCUGCUUGACUGAAGGGAGCGGAGGGGGGUAAGAGAUGACGGCCGCCCCCCCUCCUCCUUUUCUUCUUUCGUUGUUAUAUCUUUUCAAUAAAUAAAAUAAAACACUAAACCAAAAAAAAAAAAUGACGCCGCCACCCGAGGAUCAAUCGCGGAUAUUCCAGGCGCACAUGUCUAUGAUGGAGGAGCUGUGUCGGACUGGCGGCGUGAGAUGCAGCGCGCCACUGGUGUGAGAUGUCAUAGCAGAGGUGGAGGAGGAGGAAGGAUGGAGCGACUCAGUGAAGGUGAGGAG